rnacentral:rRNA from 1 species
CCUACGGGCGGCUGCAGUGGGGAAUAUUGGACAAUGGGGGGAACCCUGAUCCAGCCAUGCCGCGUGUGUGAAGAAGGCCCUCGGGUUGUAAAGCACUUUCAGUGAGGAAGAACGCCUGGUGGUUAAUACCCAUCAGGAAAGACAUCACUCACAGAAGAAGCACCGGCUAACUCCGUGCCAGCAGCCGCGGUAAUACGGAUGGUGCGAGCGUUAAUCGGAAUUACUGGGCGUAAAGCGCGCGUAGGUGGCUUGAUAAGCCGGUUGUGAAAGCCCCGGGCUCAACCUGGGAACGGCAUCCGGAACUGUUAAGCUAGAGUGCAGGAGAGGAAGGUAGAAUUCCCGGUGUAGCGGUGAAAUGCGUAGAGAUCGGGAGGAAUACCAGUGGCGAAGGCGGCCUUCUGGACUGACACUGACACUGAGGUGCGAAAGCGUGGGUAGCAAACAGGAUUAGAUACCCUUGUAGUC